rnacentral:rRNA from 1 species
ACUCAAAUGAAUAGACGGGGGCCCGCACAAGCGGAGGAACAUGUGGUUUAAUUCGAUGAUACGCGAGGAACCUUACCCGGGCUUGAAAUGGAGUGGAAUAUAGUGGAAACAUUAUAGUCAGCAAUGACCACUUUGUAGGUGCUGCAUGGUUGUCGUCAGCUCGUGCCGUGAGGUGUCGGCUUAAGUGCCAUAACGAGCGCAACCCUUAUCGUUAGUUACUAACAGGUUAUGCUGAGGACUCUAGCGAGACUGCCACCGUAAGGUGUGAGGAAGGUGGGGAUGACGUCAAAUCAGCACGGCCCUUACGUCCGGGGCGACACACGUGUUACAAUGGGGGGUACAGCGGGUUGCUACCUGGCAACAGGAUGCUAAUCUCUAAAUCCUCUCUCAGUUCGGAUCGGAGUCUGCAACUCGACUCCGUGAAGCUGGAUUCGCUAGUAAUCGCGCAUCAGCCAUGGCGCGGUGAAUACGUUCCCGGGCCUUGUACACACCGCCCGU